AAGUCGUAACAAGGUUUCCGUAGGUGAACCUGCGGAAGGAUCAUUAUUGAAACAAAACCUUUUUUGGUGGGAAGUUCGCUUCCCUUCCAAUCUCACCCCUUGUGCAUUAUGUAAAACAUGAGCAGCUUUCCCUGGUCUCGAUCAGGGGCAGUUUGACAUUAAACCACUUUUUAAUUGUACCAUCUUCUUGAUGCAUACAACCAGUUAAUUAUAACAAAACUUUCAACAACGGAUCUCUUGGCUU
rnacentral:misc_RNA from 1 species